UACGGGGGGGCAAGCGUUGUUCGGAAUUACUGGGCGUAAAGGGCUCGUAGGCGGCCAACUAAGUCAGACGUGAAAUCCCCCGGCUUAACCAGGGAACUGCGUCUGAUACUGGAUGGCUUGAGUUUGGGAGAGGGAUGCGGAAUUCCAGGUGUAGCGGUGAAAUGCGUAGAUAUCUGGAGGAACACCGGUGGCGAAGGCGACAUCCUGGACCAACACUGACGCUGAGUGAGCGAAAGCCAGGGGAGCAAACGGG
rnacentral:rRNA from 1 species